ACGAACGCUGGCGGCGUGCCUAACACAUGCAAGUUGAGCGACGAACCUACCUUCGGGUAGGGGCAAAGCAGCGAACGGGUGAGUAACACGUGGGUAACCUGCCCCGAUGACUGGGACAACCCGAGGAAACUCGGGCUAAUACCGGAUGUGCUCCACAUUCAUAAGUUUGUGGAACAAAGGAAGCUUCGGCCUCCGCAUCGGGAGGGGCCCGCGGCCCAUUAGCUUGUUGGUGAGGUAACGGCUCACCAAGGCAACGAUGGGUAGCUGGUCUGAGAGGACGAUCAGCCACACUGGGACUGAGACACGGCCCAGACUCCUACGGGAGGCAGCAGUGGGGAAUCUUGCGCAAUGCGCGAAAGCGUGACGCAGCAACGCCGCGUGUGGGAAGACGGCCUUCGGGUUGUAAACCACUUUCAGGAGGGACGAAGGGUCGGCCGCGAAUAGCGAGCCGGCUUGACGGUACCUUCAGAAGAAGCUCCGGCUAACUACGUGCCAGCAGCCGCCGUAAAAC
rnacentral:rRNA from 1 species